rnacentral:lncRNA from 1 species
AAAAAUCAACAACAUUGCAAGGAUCGUGUGAUUCUCCAUUGCUGCUGCCGCUAGAAAUUCGCGUACCAUUGUCUGCUGCUACUUGUUGAAUAUGAUUGUGUGCCAGGGAAGAAAAAUUGAACUGCAAAAGGGGGAAAAGAGAAAACAAAGGCAAAGAAGGCCGCCGCUCGCUGGAGGACGACGACGCACCGAAGCUUUCAACGCUGGCUCGCUGCUGGACGCACUAGCCACCGGCAUUGACAUGAGAUCGGCAGCCUGAUAUGCUCGCUGUACCUAUGCGGCCUCGCCAGCAGUGGCUGCACAGGAUGCUCGGCGACCUCGUCGUUGUCGCCAUUGCGGCAUCGCCUGACGAGCCACACUGCUUACACGCUGCAAUGGCUCUUCACUCGUGACGCAUACUACAAGCUCUGACACUGACGCCAUAGCCUUCUCCUUUUCAUGGGCUCGAUGUGGAUGCAUG